rnacentral:sRNA from 19 species
AUAUACAUAGCGCUGAAUUCUUUUAAGAAGCGGGGGAACCAUUAUUUUGGGGUGAAUCUCAUAUCUAUGAGACGGGUCAACUCUUUCGAUCCGAAUCCGUCAGCUAACCUCGUAAGCGUUGAAAGGGGAGAC